rnacentral:rRNA from 1 species
GACGAACGCUGGCGGCGUGCUUAACACAUGCAAGUCGAACGGACAGGCCCUGCUUUUGUGGGGUGCUCGAGUGGCGAACGGGUGAGUAACACGUGAGUAACCUGUCCUUGUCUUUGGGAUAACUUCAGGAAACUGGGGCUAAUACCGGAUAGGAGCUCCUGCUGCAUGGUGGGGGUUGGAAAGUUUCGGCGGUUGGGGAUGGACUCGCGGCUUAUCAGCUUGUUGGUGGGGUAGUGGCUUACCAAGGCUUUGACGGGUAGCCGGCCUGAGAGGGUGACCGGCCACAUGGGGACUGAGAGACGGCCCAGACUCCUACGGGAGGCAGCAGUGGGGAAUAUUGCACAAUGGGCGGAAGCCUGAUGCAGCAACGCCGCGUGCGGGAUGACGGCCUUCGGGUUGUAAACCGCUUUCGCCUGUGACGAAGCGUGAGUGACGGUAAUGGGUAAAGAAGCACCGGCUAACUACGUG